AUUGGAGUGGCAGAGCUCGGUAAAUUGCAGGAGACUUAAACCCUCCACCCAGAGGUUCAAAUCCUCUUUCCAAUU
rnacentral:tRNA from 1 species